ensembl:lncRNA
AAUCAGGAGAACGUCGGAGUGGAGAGCAGACGGUCGGCCGCGCGUCUCCCAAUUACAGGGAAGUGUUUGCAAAGAGGGGCUGGGAUCCACUGCUGCCGAAUACACAAACAUUCAGCCUUCAACGCACUUGUCCAUUAAGGCGGCUUCCGUUGGAGAGAUUGGCCCCUUCGCCUGUGCGACGGAGUCUUCAUGUGACACGAAAACAAGGAAAGAGCCCCAGAUUCAGCACCCUGGACAGCGGUCGAGUCUUCUGGGAAAAUGAGAUUUCAAGUGCUUUGCUGGAUAAAGGGCCACUCAGAAAAAAUAAAUGAAAGAAAACAUGAAGAAUGGCUGUUUUAGCUUUUAGGAGGGAAGAAAACCUGCUAAUGGAACAAGUGAACACCUCUUGGGGAGAUUUCUUGAAAUAAGAUGUUAUUUCAAAGCUGGUUCC